rnacentral:tRNA from 1 species
GCAUUUUCUAAGCUAAAAGCGAUAGAUUGUAAAUCUAUAGAGAGGUUUUAAUUUUUAGACUGCAAAUCUAAU